rnacentral:lncRNA from 1 species
UUCAGAGUGGAAUGAGAUCACUUAUCAAAUUGGCAACAGGUCCUCUCUGGCCAUCUCCGUAUAGUUUGACCCAAUGAGUUUGGUUCUCCCUUCUUUGUCAAUUCCCCUGUCUCCUGAAUGUCUCAUUCUCAAACUAAUUUUGCUUGAAAUUGUGGCUGGAGAUGGUAUGUUUGAAACUUAAUAUGAUGAACAUAGAACAGGAAGAUUUCAACACCUUUUUAGCAAAAGAUGUUCACAUAAACCUGAAAUGAAUAUAGCCAAAGAGGACGUGGUCUUUCAGCACCUCCAGCUAAAAAAUGCUGCAGAGGAACUUCCUGUAUUAAGUACAGAUGGGGUUUCACCAUGUUCGCCAGGAUGGUCUCGAUCUCCUGACCUCGUGAUCUGUCCACCUCUGCCUCCCAAAGUGCUGAGAUUACAGGUGUGAGCCACCACUCCCAGCCUUUGUCAUCAUUUCAGAUAGGGUGAAGGAAUGGUUUAAGUCGCCUCCAAGGUAUCUUGUUGGGGGUGAGGGGUACAGAGGGGUCUUACUGAAUGGUGAUGAAAAAGGGGACACAAGCGAAAAAUCAACAUUGGAGAAAAGAUAACUAAACCCUGGGAAGCUUAAGGAACAAAGUGUAACAAAACAACAUGGAUUGUUUUAUAAAAUACUUUGAGAUAUCCAGGAUUAAAAGUAUGAUAAAAAAUAA